UACGAAGGGGGCUAGCGUUGCUCGGAAUUACUGGGCGUAAAGCGCACGUAGGCGGCUUCUUAAGUCGGUGGUGAAAUCCUGGAGCUCAACUCCAGAACUGCCUUCGAUACUGGGAGCUCGAGUCCGGGAGAGGUGAGUGGAACUAGCGAGUGUAGAGGUGAAAUUCGUAGAUAUUCGCAAGAACACCAGUGGCGAAGGCGGCUCACUGGCCCGGUACUGACGGCUGAGGCA
rnacentral:rRNA from 1 species